rnacentral:piRNA from 1 species
UAGGAUGUGUGACAAUACUGAGCUUC